UAGGGAAUAUUGGGCAAUGGAGGCAACUCUGACCCAGCCAUGCCGCGUGCAGGAAGAAGGCCUUCUGGGUUGUAAACUGCUUUUGGAAGGGAACAAAACGGCUCUGCGGAGCAACUUGAGUGUACCUUCAGAAUAAGCACCGGCUAACUCCGUGCCAGCAGCCGCGGUAAUACGGAGGGUGCAAGCGUUGUCCGGAUUUAUUGGGUUUAAAGGGUGCGUAGGCGGCCUAUUAAGUCAGGGGUGAAAGACUGCAGCUCAACUGUAGCAGUGCCUUUGAUACUGAUGGGCUUGAGUACAGAUGAGGCCGGCGGAAUGGGUGGUGUAGCGGUGAAAUGCAUAGAUACCAUCCAGAACACCGAUUGCGAAGGCAGCCGGCUAAACUGUAACUGACGCUGAGGCACGAAAGCGUGGGGAUCGAACAGGAUUAGAUACCCUGGUAGUCCACGCUGUAAACGAUGAUUACUCGAUGUUAGCGAUAUACAGUUAGCGUCCAAGGGAAACCGAUAAGUAAUCCACCUGGGGAGUACGCCCGCAAGGGUGA
rnacentral:rRNA from 1 species